AUACUGGAUUUGUGUUCCUCAUGAGGAGAGCUUUCCAUUGAUAUAUGCCUUGAAAAAUUCUGCAAAAAAAAAUUAUGAAUGCUACUGUUGCGCCACCGUCUCAACAAGGAAGACGGUGGAAACCACUGCCAUGAACAAUACUGGCCGCCGUCUGGUAUGAACUUAGGGCAAGGCCUUAAACGGCGUCGUUUUGCAAGUCCAGCGCGCCCUGAACCCAGCGACCUCCUUUCGAUUCCCACCUUCAGCAUUUGGGAAUUUUGUUUUUGCC
rnacentral:lncRNA from 1 species